AGCAACUUGGUUAUAUCACUGCACUUGCUCAGAGGAACGAUUCUGGCAUUUACGGUGUACAGUUCAUUAUCCAGUCCUCAGUUAAGGGCCCUGGACAUAUUGAUUCGAGGGUGGAGUCAUUACUGAAGAACUUUGA